UGAGUAACACGUAUGCAAUCCACCUGUAACAGGGGGAUAACCCGGAGAAAUCCGGACUAAUACCCCAUAAUAUGGGCGCUCCGCAUGGAGAGCCCAUUAAAGAGAGCAAUUUUGGUUACAGACGAGCAUGCGCUCCAUUAGCCAGUUGGCGGGGUAACAGCCCACCAAAGCGACGAUGGAUAGGGGUUCUGAGAGGAAGGUCCCCCACAUUGGAACUGAGACACGGUCCAA
rnacentral:rRNA from 1 species